UACGUAGGGGGCAAGCGUUGUCCGGAUUCAUUGGGCGUAAAGAGCGUGUAGGCGGCCAGGUAGGUCGGUUGUGAAAACUGGAGGCUCAACCUUCAGAGGUCGACCGAAACCAUCUGGCUAGAGUCCGGAAGAGGAAAGUGGAAUUCCUGGUGUAGCGGUGAAAUGCGCAGAUAUCAGGAAGAACACCAAUGGCGAAAGCAGCUUUCUGGGACGGUACUGACGCUGAGACGCGAAAGCGUGGGGAGCGAACAGG
rnacentral:rRNA from 1 species